rnacentral:rRNA from 1 species
GACGAACGCUGGCGGCGUGCCUAAUACAUGCAAGUCGAACGCUGAAGGAGGAGCUUGCCCUUCUGGAUGAGUUGCGAACGGGUGAGUAACGCGUAGGUAACCUGCCUGGUAGCGGGGGAUAACUAUUGGAAACGAUAGCUAAUACCGCAUAAGAGUAGAUGUUGCAUGACAUUUACUUAAAAGGUGCAAUUGCAUCACUACCAGAUGGACCUGCGUUGUAUUAGCUAGUUGGUGGGGUAACGGCUUACCAAGGCGACGAUACAUAGCCGACCUGAGAGGGUGAUCGGCCACACUGGGACUGAGACACGGCCCAGACUCCUACGGGAGGCAGCAGUAGGGAAUCUUCGGCAAUGGACGGAAGUCUGACCGAGCAACGCCGCGUGAGUGAAGAAGGUUUUCGGAUCGUAAAGCUCUGUUGUAAGAGAAGAACGAGUGUGAGAGUGGAAAGUUCACACUGUGACGGUAUCUUACCAGAAAGGGACGGCUAACUACGUG